CGGGGGGGGGGGCAAGCGUUGUUCGGAAUUACUGGGCGUAAAGGGCGCGUAGGCGGCGGGAAAGUCUCUCGUGAAAUCCCACGGGCUCAACCGUGGAAUUGCGGGAGAUACUACUCGUCUUGAGUUCGGGAGAGGAGUGUGGAAUUCCCAGUGUAGCGGUGAAAUGCGUAGAUAUUGGGAGGAACACCGGUGGCGAAGGCGGCACUCUGGACCGAUUACUGACGCUGAGGCGCGAAAGCUAGGGGAGCAAACGGGAUUAGAUACCCCGGUAGUCCUAGCUGUAAACGCUGAGCACUUGGUGUAGCGGGUAUCGACCCCUGCUGUGCCGAAGCUAACGCAUUAAGUGCUCCGCCUGGGGAGUACGGUCGCAAAGGCUG
rnacentral:rRNA from 1 species